rnacentral:rRNA from 1 species
GAUGAACGCUGGCGGCGUGCCUAAUACAUGCAAGUCGAGCGAACAGACGAGGAGCUUGCUCCUCUGACGUUAGCGGCGGACGGGUGAGUAACACGUGGACAACCUACCUAUAAGACUGGGAUAACUUCGGGAAACCGGAGCUAAUACCGGAUAAUAUAUUGAACCGCAUGGUUCAAUAGUGAAAGACGGUUUUGCUGUCACUUAUAGAUGGAUCCGCGCCGCAUUAGCUAGUUGGUAAGGUAACGGCUUACCAAGGCGACGAUGCGUAGCCGACCUGAGAGGGUGAUCGGCCACACUGGAACUGAGACACGGUCCAGACUCCUACGGGAGGCAGCAGUAGGGAAUCUUCCGCAAUGGGCGAAAGCUUGACGGAGCAACGCCGCGUGAGUGAUGAAGGUCUUCGGAUCGUAAAACUCUGUUAUUAGGGAAGAACAAAUGUGUAAGUAACUAUGCACGUCUUGACGGUACCUAAUCAGAAAGCCACGGCUAACUACGUG